GUUUACGGUCAUGCCACCGUAAACAAGCCCGAUCCUGUCUAACCUCGAAAGCUAAGCAGGGUCCUGCCUGGAAAGUACUUGCAUGGGAGACCACCUAGGAAGACCAGGUGCUAUAUGUG
ensembl:rRNA 5S_rRNA 5S ribosomal RNA